CUCCUUCCCAUUCCCCUCCCAUCAUUUGUUUCGUUGUGCGUGUACCUCACCUCUGCUUUUAGUUCUAAUAUCAAGCAGAAUGCUCCAGCGCCUCGACUCAUGCCCAUAUUAAUGGAUGGCCCGCCGCACCUCAUUUUAUGUUGUUCUUCUAUUUAAGAUGCUCGCAAUGACUCUCUUAUCACGAGAUGGAUUUUAAUUGAAUGCGCAAAAAAUAUUAUGCAAAAUGUCCUGGCGCCAUG
rnacentral:lncRNA from 1 species